AAUGAACGCUGGCGGCAGGCCUAACACAUGCAAGUCGAGCGAAGUCUUCGGACUUAGCGGCGGACGGGUGAGUAACGCGUGGGAACGUACCUUUUGCUUCGGAAUAGCCUCGGGAAACUGGGAGUAAUACCGAAUGUGCCCUACGGGGGAAAGAUUUAUCGGCAAAAGAUCGGCCCGCGUUGGAUUAGGUAGUUGGUGGGGUAAUGGCCUACCAAGCCGACGAUCCAUAGCUGGUUUGAGAGGAUGAUCAGCCACACUGGGACUGAGACACGGCCCAGACUCCUACGGGAGGCAGCAGUGGGGAAUCUUAGACAAUGGGCGCAAGCCUGAUCUAGCCAUGCCGCGUGAUCGAUGAAGGCCUUAGGGUUGUAAAGAUCUUUCGUGGGGGAAGAUAAUGACGGUACCCCAAGAAGAAGCCCCGGCUAACUCCGUGCCAGCAGCCGCGGUAAU
rnacentral:rRNA from 1 species